UACGGAGGGUGCGAGCGUUAAUCGGAAUUACUUGGCGUAAAGGGUGCGUAGGUGGUUGUAUAAGUUAUCUGUGAAAUUUUUGGGCUUAACCUGGAGUGGUCAGAUGAUACUGUAUGACUGGAGUAUAGGAGAGGGUAGUGGAAUUUCCGGUGUAGCGGUGAAAUGCGUAGAGAUCGGAAGGAACACCAGUGGCGAAGGCGACUACCUGGCCUGAUACUGACACUGAGGCACGAAAGCGUGGGGAGCAAACAGG
rnacentral:rRNA from 1 species